rnacentral:rRNA from 1 species
UACGGGGGGAGCAAGCGUUGUUCGGAUUUACUGGGCGUAAAGGGCGCGUAGGCGGUCCAUCGCGUCGGGAGUGAAAAGCUGGGGCUCAACCCCAGUCCUGCUUCCGAUACGGGUGGACUAGAGGUAUGCAGGGGAGAACGGAAUUCCUGGUGUAGCGGUGAAAUGCGCAGAUAUCAGGAGGAACACCGGUGGCGAAGGCGGUUCUCUGGGUAGAUACUGACGCUGAGGUGCGAAAGCGUGGGGAGCAAACAGG